rnacentral:rRNA from 1 species
UACAGAGGGUGCGAGCGUUUAAUCGGAAUUACUGGGCGUAAAGCGCACGUAGGCGGCUUGGUAUGUCGGGGUGUGAAAUCCCCGGGCUCAACCUGGGAACUGCAUCCGAAACUGCCUUGCUAGAGUAUGGGAGAGGGAAGUGGAAUUUCCGGUGUAGCGGUGAAAUGCGUAGAUAUCGGAAGGAACAUCAGUGGCGAAGGCGACUUCCUGGACCAAUACUGACGCUCAGGUGCGAAAGCGUGGGGAGCAAACAGG